ensembl:miRNA mdo-mir-7367 mdo-mir-7367
UUGGGCCUUAAAGGGAGCAGAAGCCCUCCAAACAGCUUUGACAUGGCCUUGCUCCCUUUUGCCCCCAGAA